AUAUGUAUACAGGGGAGCUUGAAAACAGGCUGAGAGGAAGGUGUUGCCUUUGACCCUUGAACCUGAUUUGGAUAAUGCCAACGUAGGAAAGACAAGAUACUUAUGG
rfam:Firmicutes bacterium CAG:466 genomic scaffold, scf157